CCUACGGGAGGCAGCAGGGAGGAAUAUUGGUCAAUGGGCGAGAGCCGGAACCAGCCAAGUCGCGGGAAGGAUGAAGGAUCUAUGGUUUGUAAACUUCUUUUAUAUGGGAAUAAAUUGAGGCACGUGUCCCUUUUUGUAUGUACCCUAUGAAUAAGCAUCGGCUAACUCCGUGCCAGCAGCCGCGGUAAUACGGAGGAUGCGAGCGUUAUCCGGAUUUAUUGGGUUUAAAGGGUGCGUAGGUGGUUAGUUAAGUCAGCGGUGAAAGUUUGUGGCUCAACCGUAAAAUUGCCGUUGAAACUGGUAGACUUGAGUAUAUUUGAGGUAGGCGGAAUGCGUGGUGUAGCGGUGAAAUGCAUAGAUAUCACGCAGAACUCCGAUUGCGAAGGCAGCUUACUAGACUAUAACUGACACUGAGGCACGAAAGCGUGGGGAUCAAACAGGAUUAGAUACCCCAGUAGUC
rnacentral:rRNA from 1 species